rnacentral:rRNA from 1 species
GCCAGCAGCCGCGGUAAUACAGAGGUCGCAAGCGUUGUUCGGAUUUACUGGGCGUAAAGGGCGCGUAGGUGGCAGCGUGUGUCGGAUGUGAAAUCUCCGGGCUCAACCCGGAAAGUGCGUCCGAAACUGCACUGCUUGAGUACGGGAGAGGGAAUCGGAAUGCAGGGUGUAGCGGUGAAAUGCGUUGAUGUCCUGCAGAACACCGGAGGCGAAGGCGGAUUCCUUGAACGUCACUGACACUGAGGCGCGAAAGUCGGGGGAGCAAACAGGAUUAGAUACCCUGGUAGUCCGCACAGUAAACGAUGAUGACUUGUUGUCGGCGAUAGACGGUCGGCGAUAAAGCGAAAGCGAUAAGUCAUCCACCUGGGGGAGUACGAUCGCAAGGUUGAAACUCAAAGGAAUUGACGGGGGCCCGCACAAGCGGAGGAGCAUGUGGUUUAAUUCGAUGAUACGCGAGGAACCUUACCCAGACUCAAAUGGGGGCCGGCAGGCGCGGAGACGCGCCCUCCCUCCGGGGCGGCCUUCAAGGUGCUGCAUGGUUGUCGUCAGCUCGUGCCGUGAGGUGUCAGGUUAAGUCCUAUAACGAGCGCAACCCCUACGUCCAGUUGCCAGCGGGUCGAGCCGGGGACUCUGGACGGACUGCCGGCGCAAGCCGAGAGGAAGGCGGGGAUGACGUCAAAUCAGCACGGCCCUUACGUCUGGGGCGACACACGUGCUACAAUGGCCGGUACAGAGGGCAGCCACGCCGCGAGGCGGAGCGAAUCUCGAAAGCCGGUCUCAGUUCGGAUGGGAGUCUGCAACCCGACUCCGUGAAGUUGGAUUCGCUAGUAAUCGCGCAUCAGCCAUGGCGCGGUGAAUACGAGGCCGGGCCUUGCACACACCGCCCGUCAAG